UCCCAGUCCGGAUUGCAGUCUGCAACUCGACUGCAUGAAGUCGGAAUCGCUAGUAAUUCUGGAUCAGCAUGCCAGGGUGAAUGCGUUCCCGGGCCUUGUACACACCGCCCGUCACACCAUGGGAGUCGGUAACGCCCGAAGUCGGUAGUCUAACCGAAAGGAGGACGCCGCCGAAGGUGGGAUUGAUGACUGGGGUGAAGUCGUAACAAGGUAUC
rnacentral:rRNA from 1 species